ACUUCGGCACUUUCUCAUUGGAAGUUUAGUUCAUAACAAAGCUGUCUUUGGUUUUCUUCCUGUCUGAAGCUUGCCCAUAAUCUAUCUAUUUUCUUCUUCGGGAGAAACGUUUCUAGAAGUAGCCUCAGCACGAUUCAUUCUAUUCUGGAAGAAACUCUCGCAAUGUUAGCGGCAGAUUGACGGUGCUUUGAUUCCGCAGGAAACACAGUGGCUGGUAGCAUGGAUUCUGAAGAUGUAAGCACAAUUAGCGUCUAUAACCCUACCCUCGCCCUCUGUGGCCGCCACCACCGCCCAGCUUUCUGCAACAUCUGCUGAUGUAGGUGAGGGUAGGCUAUGCAAUGUGGACUUAGAGGUCGCUCUCAGAUCGGAGGCUGCCACCCUACGACGUAAGUGAGACAGUCGCGUGGCUCUCGGAGCGUCGGAUGUGCUCUCCAAGCGAGUGACCGAAUUGCGUGGGUGCUUGUUAUUCACGGGCAGUCUCUUGCGAUCUCGGCGCCAUCCAGACAUUUCUGAGGACCACACCGAAUGUGGGGAGAUGGAUCCGAGAGAUGCAUGGGAGUUGUUCCCGUGCGGUUGGAAGGAACUCACUCGCGCCCUCAGGUUUAGAGUAGAACCUCAGUGGUGAUUAACAAUGUGGGUUCAUAUAAGUCGCACCGUAAGGUCUACAAUUGAACUUCAGCGGUGAUCAAGAUAGUGGGUGCAGGCAGCAAUGUGCGACCAGAUACAAGGGCUCCGGGUUUUAAACAUCUAGGAGGACUGUUUCUGGAUGGAUCCUAACACAGAUAAGGCCCCCCCUUUGUCGAAGUUGUGAUCAAAACUGCGUGCUGUUGCAAUCACAAGCUCAAGCCCAGUUAGCAAUUAAUUGAUUAAUUGUUUAAUUGUUAUGGUUUCAAAUUUUGCUGAGUUUUGAAUGUCGCUGCCUCCUGCUCGAUUUUUGUUGAGUUUGUUGUAUUUCUCUACGGCUCGACCCCGGUCUCGCUAUCUACUGCAGCAUUCUCGUCGGUGUUGACUCAGCUGCCACCCGCCCUCCUGAUUCUUCUGCCCUCGAUGCCUCUGCUUCCCUGCAUUGCUCCGACGAUGAGCGAUCCGCCGCCAGUGAUUCCUGGUCCGUUCGCAGGGAAUACGUUAGCACCUUGGAUGGUGAGGACCAACGGAAUGCCGAUGUUGCGGAUGCGCUCAACGCCUCUUCGUUCCGCACCACUGAUUAUUUGGGCGCCCCUUCUCACCUCUCCUCGUCUCUCCAUGCUACGAGAUCAAAUCCCUCGCUCUUUUCACUUACACUGUGUGUCUGGUACUUGGUCCGGUUAAUGACGACUGUGUUUCGAGAUGGCCUAGUUUCUUCCAGUCCUUUCGACUCGGAACUGCUGCGCCGAUUUCCUUAGCACUUACACUCGCAAACAAGUUAGUUUCCUCCGGAUGGUUGUGGUUCGUGAAAAUGGAUGAUUCGAUGACAUACAUGGGUUCAUUAUUGAAAAUCUUUGUGCAAGUUGCUUGCUCCUGAUGGAGUAUUGGUAUUUUUUUCCUGUGCCUUGACGGGUGGGCAAGUAUGUUGAAGUCACUUGGGAGAAUGUUGCUAGAACUGGCGAAUGCGGCGGCUCCAAUUUCUGCGCGUAGAUUUUCAUCAAACACCUUAACUUUUGGAAUUGCACGUGGCAGGUGAUAACCUCUAGUAACAGCCCCAAGGAUGAGCUGAUAGCUCUGCCGUGCUUUUGGGCUUCGCUUUUUUGCACUUGGCACUAUUACUCCGCCCUUCACCAUCGACGGCUCUACCCUCUCCAUGGCGACCACAGCAUCGCCACUAUCCUAUCAACUCUCUCCGAUUCAUCGCUGCUCCUGUGAGCCCACACCAACUGCAACCGCCUCGACACAUGGCGCCGCUGCAGCUCCAUCCAAUCACUUUGAGCUUCAUCGCCAAGUGGAGCACCUCCACGUCUUCGCAUGGCGCUUGGAUUCUGAUUAGAGCUGAUACUGCCUCACUCGCUGCGUUGGGAUAUAUAGUGAUGGUAGUCGACAGUUCUCUUCAAUCGAAAUCAGCUCAUUGUACAGGACUUGCCUUCUUGAGCUGUUUGAUUUAGGUUACGAUCUUCUGCUUUCUACUUUAGCGUACUUCUACGUUGAUAAUUUAAUCCUCACCUGUGUCAAGAAUGGCCUCCAUGUCCACCGCGAUGUCACUGUCGAGCUCUGUGGCUGCACUUGCAGUCAUGCUCCCCUCAAACGCUGCUUUUGGAUCGUCCGGAGUUCAGCAACUGGCUGCUGUGCGGUCGCCCGUGAACUCGAACGCAUCCAGAGUCGUGGCUGCCAGGGCUAGCCAGUCCUCUGAGGAACAAGCCCCUGUGAAAUCAAAGGUUCUUGUGGCCGCCGGAGCAGCAUUCGCAUUGAAUGUUACUCCUGUUGCUCCCGCACAAGCUGGGUUUUUCAGCAAUGACAUCCAGGUCGAGCGGGGCGCCACAUCCCCACAAUUCCCCGGAAACGAAGGCACUGGAACCAAGGUCGGCAACAACAUGGGGCACCAGAGGAUCAGCCAAUUCUGGCACGCCCUUCGGUGAAGGCGCUGGUGGAAAUUUGGUCGGAGACAACCAAGCCACCAGGCAGCUUUCGUCCACGGGAACACCUCUGGGAGAAGGAAGUGCCAGCGGCUCCGGCGUCAAUGUUGCGGAGGCGUUGAAGGUACCUGAUGUCGGACUGCCUGAUGUGUCCAACUCCCUGAACAAGAUUGGUGAGCUGAAUCCCUUGAAGAAUGGUGUACUCGAUGCAUCGAACAUCGUCGGCGACGCCAAGAAUGCUGCUCAGGAUUUGGCGGGAGAUGCCAAGAGUAAGAUUGGCAUGGGAGGAAUGGGAAUGCCUGAUGCAGGCAGCGUUGCUAGCAACGCCAAGGGCAUGGCCGCUGAUGCUAAGUCCUAGGUAAGCGAUGGUUUGAGUGGUCCUUCAAGCGUUGCCAGUGGCGCAAAGAACUCUGCCAAGGAUUUGGUAGGCGAUGCCAAGAGUAAGUUGAGCAAUGUUGCCAGCUCCGACGUUGUCGGUGACGCUAAGAACGCUGCAGGCGAUGCUGCAAAUCGCGCAACUCAGGGAGUUGCAUCAAAUACUGCACAAGACGUUGUGGAGAACGCCAAGAACAGCAUCGGAUUACCUAACCCCAUGGAAGCUGGGAAGGCUCUGCUUAGUAAGCAAUGCCCGCGUUCGAGGACGGUGACAGAGGUUUCUGGAAGAGCCUCGAGAAGAUGGAAGAAGGGGUCGGUGCAGAGUUCCAUGCAGAACUCUAUCGUUGCUCUUAUUUGUGAUAGGUGAACAGGGAGCUCUAGGCAAGCUGUUUUAGUGAAAUCGAGCGUGAAGGCGUCAACUGUUGAGCACGGCUCUGGCCUCCAGACGGGACACUUCAAUAUAUGGAGCAAAAGGAGAGCAGGGUUAGCGUCGGGCUUGUCCGAACAAACAUGUAUUCUAAGAGACCAACGAUGGUGGACUUUACAAGGCGGGCAUAUACGGAUCACAAGUUGCGAAAGCCCUCCAAUUUGUGUUGUUGUGAUCCCGCCUCGCAAUGAACAACACAAGAUCAUGACCAAAGUAUGAAAACGUUGGACAAAUUUUAUUAUGAAUCCACAAUUUCAGCUCACGAAUCGCAGAACUACAACCGCAAUCGGAGGGUUCAUUUAUUUUGCCCCUAGCUAAAUCCUAGACACAACUGGGUUUCUUGUGCAUUUAAACACAACCGACCCUUCAUCACUCUGUUGAAGCGCAUCUCCAGACACGACAACACUUCGAUCCGACCUAUUGGAAGCUUAUUGCUUACUACCCAACUUCGCAAGUGUGACUGAAGGGGAAGGAUUUGAGCACCACUCCGUCUGCUAAGUAUCCGUGGUAAGACGUCGUCGAAUUGUUGUGACCUCGGGAUCAAGCACGUGCUGCUCUCCGUAUCUCGCCUAGCAUUCUUGAGUACAACGGAACAAGGCGCAGGUUUACUUCUGCGGAGCGAUGCGUAAUGACUCUCGUGCGUUUUUCGAGUCCGUCAUUGAAAUUCGGUGUGACUCGUGUGGUAUGAGCCAAAAGUUGAGGCUGAGAAGCCCACGGCAAUCCGCACGUCUAGAUGAGGGCGAGCUCGCAAGAGGCCGCCCAUGAACACGAAGUAUUGAUGCACUUCGGUCACUUGCAUGGAGAGUGUGUCCGAGGAGCGAUGGCAACGCAGCCAUCUCACUAUUCGUCGUGAAUUGGUGGCGGCGAUGGGUGAGCGUCUCCUGUGGCCCUGCUGCGCUCUCUUGGAUCUCCUGCAAGUCUAGUAUCUGCAUCUCCUGCGGGCCUAUUAUCUGCACCGGUUGUCGAGUUCGGGCGCCAGGGACGUGAAGGAGGCGGAUUAUAGUAGCUAAUGCUGGUGGCGUCUUCCAUGUUUCCUCGAACUUCAAGUAUAUUCUCGCGUGAAAUCCAAGCAAGGGAAAUUCGCUGGCAUUUUGUGUGAAUUCAGACGCCGACCACAAUCUUCUAGAAGAGGUAUUCGUAGCGCCAAGCAUUCUUAAACAUUCGAAUAACGCAUGUGGUCUUUGCAGCUUCUUCUUACUGUAAAAACUUCCCACACCCCAGCUAAAUGGUUUAGCAUUCGACGUGGAGGUCUAUCGUCGAGGGGUAUCGACCUUGAAAAUUGACGUACCCACGAAUUAUUGGGCGACUUGCAGAUCGAUGUGAACAAGGAGAGUGCCAUGUCAUGCAUCACAAGAUGUUGUUCGUCGAAGCACAAGCCGCGCGACGCAAGCUUGUUGCGGAUCGCCAGAGUAAGCUCCAAGUAAGGGAAUGUUCCUAUUUGACAUGUGGGGUCGCCGUCAUCAUUGAUACAGUUGGAGACUCAGUUUACAGUUGACGCCAUCUGUAGGUCGUAUUAGGGGCAUGGAAUACUGCCUGUUAACAGAACCCUUACUUGCCGCAGCUGCCCCCGGCAGUCGGCGUCAGUCGGCGUCGGUCAGCGGCCGCAGUCAUCUCAUAACGUGCUGUAAUUGAAUUGGGGCCGAUGUCUUUAUUUUGCCCAGUUAAUAUUCUCCAAAACUUAUGCUCCACCUAGAAAGUUUGUACCAUCAGUUUCCACGUUGGAACUUUUUAA